GAUGUUUAUUUUUUGGUUAUUUUUUUUGUUUCAAAUAAAAGUUUCUGAGUAUUUCUUUGUGCAGACUCAACAAUGUGAGUUCGUGAAUGAUUCCGAAUUUAUUUCAUACUAUGAACGACAUUGUAAAACUAUUUUCAACAUGCAAAUGCGCGUUCAACAACCAAUAACAUGACCGCUGACAGAUCGUCAAGAAGUGUGGAUGUGGUAUUUUUACGCCAGUAUUUUUUCAAAAUGUUCAGAUAACAUUAAAUAUUCUGGCAAAAAGAAGUUAGGUGUGUGGGGAUCACUGUUGCAGGUGCAGUGCAGGUCAAUGAAAUAGCAAGAUCAGGCGGCGGCAGCAGUUAUGAGUUUGUAAAACAGGCUCUGACCCCGCUGAUUUCAAAUGAACUUGCAAUGAAAAUUAAUUGGUUGGGCAUAAAGGAAGAGGAGAAAUUUUUAAUAUUAAAAUUGGGAAAAUUAAUACUUGAUGAGGACAAGUAGGCAAACACAUCACAAACAUCAAAAGAAUGUGAGAAUUCAAUAGCGGCUUGGCUGAAAAGAGCUACUUUCA